CUUAGCUCAGCGGCCAGAGCGCUCGCCUUGUAAGCGAGUGGUCGUGGGUUCGACUCCCACAG
rnacentral:tRNA from 1 species